rnacentral:piRNA from 1 species
GAUCUGAGUAGAGAUUGUUUGCAAUGGA